CCUACGGGGGGCAGCAGUGAGGAAUAUUGGUCAAUGGGCGGAAGCCUGAACCAGCCAAGUAGCGUGCAGGAUGACGGCCCUACGGGUUGUAAACUGCUUUUAUACGGGAAUAACGCGCCUUACGUGUAGGGCUUUGCAUGUACCGUAUGAAUAAGGACCGGCUAAUUCCGUGCCAGCAGCCGCGGUAAUACGGAGGGUGCGGGCGUUGUCCGGAUUUAUUGGGGUUAAAGGGAGCGUAGGCCGCAUGUCAAGCGUGCUGUGAAAUGUCCGGGCUAAACCCGGGCCUUGCAGCGCGAACUGGCGUGCUUGAGUCCGCGGAAGGCAGGCGGAAUUCGUCGUGUAGCGGUGAAAUGCUUAGA
rnacentral:rRNA from 1 species